rnacentral:rRNA from 1 species
GACGAACGCUGGCGGCGUGCCUAAUACAUGCAAGUAGAACGCAGUUGCGAACGGGUGAGUAACGCGUAGGUAACUGCCUCAUAGCGGGGGAUAACUAUUGGAAACGAUAGCUAAUACCGCAUACUGUGAGAUGGAACUGCGUUGUAUUAGGUAGUUGGUGAGGUAAAGGGCCACCAAGGCGACGAUACAGAGCCGGCCUGGGAGGGUGAUCGGGCAAACUGGGACUGAGACACGGCCCAGGCUCCUAAGGGAAGCAGCAGGAGGGAAUUUUCGGCAAUGGGGUGAAGUCUGACCGAGCAACGCCGGGUGAGUGAAGAAGGUUUUCGGAUCGGAAAGCUCUGUUGUUAGGGAAACGGUAACUAACCAGAAAGGGACGGCUAACUACGUGCCAGCAGCCGCGGUAAUUC